GACGAACGCUGGCGGCGUGCUUAACACAUGCAAGUCGAGCGGAGCGGCGAACGGGUGAGUAACGCGUGAGUAACUGCCCCCCUCCCUGGGAUAACAGUUGGAAACGGCUGCUAAUACCGGAUAGAGGGGGAUGACUCGCGUCCUAUCAGCUUGUUGGUGGGGUAGUGGCCUACCAAGGCGACGACGGGUCGCCGGCCAGAGAGGGCAACCGGCCAACUUGUGCGGCGUGAUGGCCCAAACGCCUAUGGGAUGCAUCUGUGGGGAAUCGUGCACAAUGGGGGAAACCCUGAUGCAUCAUCGCCGCGUGCGGGAUGAUGGCCUUCGGGUUGUAAACCGCUUUCAGCCAUGACGCGGUAGUCGCAGAAGAAGCACCGGCUAACUACGUGCCAACAGCCGCGGUAAUAC
rnacentral:rRNA from 1 species